UGGGGAAUAUUGGACAAUGGGCGAAAGCCUGAUCCAGCAAUGCCGCGUGAGUGAUGAAGGCCUUAGGGUUGUAAAGCUCUUUUACCAGGGAUGAUAAUGACAGUACCUGGAGAAUAAGCUCCGGCUAACUCCGUGCCAGCAGCCGCGGUAAUACGGAGGGAGCUAGCGUUGUUCGGAAUUACUGGGCGUAAAGCGUACGUAGGCGGUGACUCAAGUCAGAGGUGAAGGCCUGGAGCUCAACUCCAGAACUGCCUUUGAAACUAGGUCGCUAGAAUCACGGAGAGGUGAGUGGAAUUCCGAGUGUAGAGGUGAAAUUCGUAGAUAUUCGCAGGAACACCAGUGGCGAAGGCGACUUGCUGGACUUAUGGUGACGCUGAGACGCGAAAGCGUGGGGAGCAAACAGGAUUAGAUACCCCUGUAGUCCCUGAGCGGGCUGGCAAGGCGCAU
rnacentral:rRNA from 1 species